CCUACGGGUGGCAGCAGUGGGGAAUAUUGCGCAAUGGGCGAAAGCCUGACGCAGCGACGCCGCGUGAGGGAUGAAGGUCUUCGGAUCGUAAACCUCUGUCAGCAGGGAAGAACGGUCACUGUGCUAAUCAGCAGUGCAUUGACGGUACCUGCAAAGGAAGCACCGGCUAACUCCGUGCCAGCAGCCGCGGUAAUACGGAGGGUGCGAGCGUUAAUCGGAAUUACUGGGCGUAAAGCGCUCGUAGGCGGUAUGUCAAGUCAAGUGUGAAAUCCCCGGGCUCAACGUGGGAACUGCCUUUGAAACUGGCAAACUGGAGUGUGUGAGAGGGUAGUAGAAUUCCAGGUGUAGGAGUGAAAUCCGUAGAGAUCUGGAGGAACAUCAGUGGCGAAGGCGACUAUCUGGAACAUAACUGACGCUGAGGAGCGAAAGCGUGGGUAGCAAACAGGAUUAGAUACCCCAGUAGUC
rnacentral:rRNA from 1 species